GGGUCAGUAGGUUGGUCGUGCCACCGGUACGUACUGGUCUCACUGAUUCCUCCUUCCUGAAGAGCCGUAAGGCCAUUAAUUUGGUGUUGCGGGGAAACAGGACUGUUACUUUGAAAAAAUUAGAGUGUUUAAAGCAAGCUAACGCUUGAAUACAUUAGCAUGGAAUAAUGAAAUAGGACGAUCGAUCCUAUUUUGUUGGUUUCUAGGAUUGACGUA
rnacentral:rRNA from 1 species